UUCUUAUCCAGAGAGGUGGAGGGACUGGCCCUUUGAAGCCUCGGCAGCGGUCUUUUUUUAAAGAACUGUGCCAAUUCCAGAAAGCAAUUGCUUGAAGAUAAGAA
rnacentral:ncRNA from 2 species